CCUACGGGAGGCAGCAGUGAGGAAUAUUGGUCAAUGGACGAGAGUCUGAACCAGCCAAGUAGCGUGAAGGAUGACUGCACUAUGGGUUGUAAACUUCUUUUAUAUGGGAAUAAAAUGUUCCACGUGUGGGAUUUUGUAUGUACCAUAUGAAUAAGGAUCGGCUAACUCCGUGCCAGCAGCCGCGGUAAUACGGAGGAUCCGAGCGUUAUCCGGAUUUAUUGGGUUUAAAGGGAGCGUAGGUGGAUUGUUAAGUCAGUUGUGAAAGUUUGCGGCUCAACCGUAAAAUUGCAGUUGAAACUGGCAGUCGUGAGUACAGUUGAGGUGGGCGGAAUGCGUGGUGUAGCGGUGAAAUGCUUAGAUAUCACGAAGAACUCCGAUUGCGAAGGCAGCUCACUGGACUGCAACUGACACUGAGGCUCGAAAGUGUGGGUAUCAAACAGGAUUAGAUACCCGGGUAGUC
rnacentral:rRNA from 1 species